rnacentral:lncRNA from 10 species
UUUUACAAAUGAAGAAACCAAGUCUCUGAGGGGUGGAGUAGCUGGCUAAGGUCACACAGGAAGCCACACUAUGUCCCAACACUUGGAAUGAUGUCACCAGCCCUGUGCUUUCUUUUUUUCGAGAUGGAGUCUUGCUCUGUCGCCCAGGCUGGAGUGCAGUGGCACGAUCUUAGCUCACUGCAAGCUCCGCCUCCCGGGUUCACACCAUUCUCCUGCCUCAGCCUCCCGAGUAGCUGGGACUACAGGUGCCCACCACCACACCCGGCUAAGUUUUUUGUAUUUUUAAUAGAGUCGGGGGUUUCACCGUAUUAGCCAGGAUGGUCUCGAUCUCCUGACCUCGUGAUCUGCCUGCCUCAGCCUCCCAAAGUGCUGGGAUUACAGGCAUGAGCCACCGCACCUUGCCAGCCCCAUGCUUUCUUUGUGACCACUCCCAGCCUGUUUCCCAACCUCCCACCCCACAGGGAGUAUGAGGAGUAGCAGUGAUGCCUGUGACAGAGGCAAUGCCAGGCACUAUGUGGUGUGGGUAAGGGGCAGGUUGUCACAGGAGCUGCCAUCCAGCAGGUGUCCUGACACCCAACAGGGAAGCUGAGGCUGGGGGCCUGACCUUGGUGCCCUGCCCUGACCCACAGCCAGCCCCCCUGGCCUGAUCUUCCCUGGCACCCCCUUGUACCCUCAGUUCCGGAACCCCAAGGCAUCCUUGCGUGUGCGGCUCUGUGACCUCCUGAGCCACCUGCAGCGGAGCGGUGAGCGGGACUGCCAGGAGUUCUACCGAGCCCUGUAUAUCCAUGCCCAGCCCCUGCACAGCCGCCUGCCCAGCCGCCACGCUCUGCGUAAGUUCCACAUCACCAACCAUGCAUGCUUGGUGCUGGCCCGGGGAGGGCACCCCAGCCUGCCGUUGAUGGCAUGGAUGUCCUCCAUGACCACCCAAGUCUGCUGCAGCCCAGGCCUGGCAUCCCCUCUCGCCUCAGCCCCUCCCCAGAGGCCACCCUCUGGCCCCGAGGGGAGAGUGUGGCAGGCACAGGCAGUGCAGAUGUUGGUCUCUGUCUCCCACUUUCUCCCCCUUCCUCCGUCUCUCUCUCAUGGCAGUUUUCACACAGCAUGGGGCAUCUUAUACGUCCACUCUUGCCCUUCCUUUUCUAACCUCAUUCCACGGGGAUCCCUUCAUGUCUGUGUGGACAGCAACCUUGUUCCCACAGCUGCAUGGCGCUCCUAGGCGGUCCCAGCUGGAAUUACCCAACCCCAUGACGGACCCUUUCAUUGCAGCGAUCUGCACACGUGUGGGUGUUUCCAUAGGACAUUGUCAGGCACGGAUGGCUGGUCCGAAGCACGUGCAUUUCAGUUUUGAGGCUCCUGUCCUCAGGCAGUGUGGACUCAGGCCCUGGGAGUCAUGUGGAUGCCAGUAGCCUGGGCCCACAGAGCUGCUGGGAUGUGGGGGGCAUAUCAAGUUGAAGAUGGCAACUCUGAUCUGACGCCUCUGUGCUCAGGGCCCCUGGAGGAGGGGCUACUGCCCCUUGGCCCUUAGACAACAGGACAGAGACCAGAGGGACUGGGCGGCUUGUCCCAGGCUACUGGGCUGUGGUCUCUGACCCCCUGGAGGCCUCCCCACGCCUCACAGAACACAGUGCAGACGGUGGGCGGGGAGAGCUCGAGGGGAGGCCCAGCCCUGCAGGUGGGACUGGCUCUCCCUCCCCAGCCACGAGUAUGCCACAGGGGGCUUUCAAAACCAGGCAGGGCCAAGCCUUGGCCCCACUGGAGGUAGAGCACCUUCUGUGGCUCCCGGGUGCCUUUAGGCCCGUCCAGGAGUUGGAGCAGAGGAGAAGACCCAGACUGUGCAUAGUUCCCUGAGGAGGGCUAGCCUCAGGUGCCACAGCCUGGUUCGGCCUGGCGGCCCCAGGAGGCAGCAGCAACCUUGGGCUUCCUGCGGGGUGACUACCUUGCCCUCCGGCCCUGCCCGUUGACUAACUAUGCUCUGUGGUUUUGUUUCCAGAGAACUCAGAUUGCACAGAGCUAGACUCGGGCAGCCAGAGCGGCGAGCUGAGUAACAGGGGUAACACCUCCCUGCUGCCCCUCCCUCUCUCUCCCUCUCUCUCCCUCUCUCUUUACCCUCCCCAGGGCUCCAUCUCCGCCUCAGGGGCUUCUCCACCCCAAGUCUGGCUCCAUUCCUGGCCUUCUGUUGGUGACAGACCCCCCCCCUAAGGUGCUCGUUUGGGGGCUCUUCAGGCAGCACCUCAGCCUGGCACCCCCACUCCCCUGCGCAGCCCCCAGGCCUCAGGACCCCACCCCUCUGAGGCCCAGGGGAGCCCUGUUCACGCUGGUUUCUCCCCAGGACCCAUGAGCUUCCUGGCUGGCCUGGGCCUUGCUGUGGGACUGGCCCUGCUCCUGUACUGCUAUCCGCCAGACCCCAAGGGCCUGCCAGGGACCCGGCGCGUCCUCGGUUUCUCGCCUGUCAUCAUCGACAGACAUGUCAGCCGCUACCUGCUGGCCUUCCUGGCAGAUGACCUAGGGGGGCUCUGACAGACCCUGGACCCAGGGCCUCACCUGCCACUCAACCAAAGAGUCCUCGAGCCGGCCCGCCAAGGGGACUGCUGCUUCUUUUUCUAAAUGCAUAUUUUUCAUUAUUUAUAAUUUGUGUAAAAAACACACCUUCACCUUACAAGGUGCUGACCAUAUUAAAUGUUCAGGUUCUCUCA